rnacentral:rRNA from 1 species
ACUCCUACGGGAGGCAGCAGUGGGGAAUAUUGCACAAUGGGGGAAACCCUGAUGCAGCCAUGCCGCGUGUGUGAAGAAGGCCCUUCGGGUUGUAAAGCACUUUCAGUAGGGAGGAAGGUAGUGUAGUUAACACCUGCACUAUUUGACGUUACCUACAGAAGAAGCACCGGCUAACUCCGUGCCAGCAGCCGCGGUAAUACGGAGGGUGCGAGCGUUAAUCGGAAUUACUGGGCGUAAAGCGCAUGCAGGCGGCCUGUUAAGUCAGAUAGUGAAAGCCCGGGGGCUUAACCUCGGAAUUGCAUUUGAAACUGGCAGGCUAGAGUCUGUAGAGGGGGGUAGAAUUUCAGGUGUAGCGGUGAAAUGCGUAAGAGGAUCUGAAAGGAAUACCGAGUGGCGAAGGCGGACCCCCUGGACAAAGACUGAACG